GGUAAAACUCCAGGGGGAAAAGGAAUUCUCUAGCUGAACUUUGUAACAAUUUGAACUAGGUGAGAAGCCUCCUGGCCAGAACUCAGAGAGAGCAAGAAUUCGGCUUGUAGACUUCACAGGAAUUUUUUGGAUUUUAGCCUAAGUAGUUGCUUCAUCAACUAUGCAUCUGCAUGAACAGGUGAAGACAGAACUGGAGACAAACGGCAGACAGAUGAGAGUUGACCAGGACAUGAGGAGACCCCGAUGGCAAGAGCACAGAGGCUGACGGGGUUGUGAAAGCUAGACACAAAGAUACAGAGACAAACUCCACUCCAGAGAGCUGUGCAGAAGGGUUGCUCCAAGGCAUCCUCUCCAUUCCCAAUGCAUUCCCCUCUGGAAAAGAGCCUGCAGAACUUAUUGUUGAGCCCACAGGAGAGAAAAUUUUCAGACUCUCGCUAUCUAAAAGUUAGCCAGAGCAAGAGAGAAGCAGCAACAACCAACAGAGAACCAGGCCCGUGGGCAGUUAAUAAAGACAAAUCCUCUCUCAUACACCCUUCAACCCCCAACACCAGACACAUAAGACCUUGAAUAAGGUAAAGGAAAAGAUAAGUCCGACUCCUGGCCAGGCGCAGUGGCUCAUCCCUGUAAUCCCAGCACUUUGGGAGGCUGAGGCAGGAGGAUCACUUGAGGUCUGGAGUUUCAGACCAGCCUGGGCAACAUGGCAAAACCUGUCUCUACUGAAAAUACAAAAAUUAGCUGGGUGCGAUGGCGGGCGCCUGCAGUCCCAGCUACUCGGAAUUGCUUGAACCCGGAAGGUGGAGGUUGCAGUGAGCUGAGAUAGCACC
rnacentral:lncRNA from 10 species